GGACGACCAGCCACAGGAGCACUGAGACACGGGCUCCACUCCUACGGGAGGCAGCAGUUAGGAAUCUUCGUCAAUGGGCGAAAGCCUGAACGAGCGACGCCGCUUGAGGGACGAAGCCCUUCGGGGUGUAAACCUCUGAACAGGGGACGAUGAUGACGGUACCCUGCUAAUAGCACCGGCUAACUCCGUGCCAGCAGCCGCGGUAAUACGGAGGGUGCGAGCGUUACCCGGAUUUACUGGGCGUAAAGGGCGUGUAGGCGGUUUUCUAAGUCCGGGGCUAAAGACCAGGGCUCAACCCUGGGUUUGCCUUGGAUACUGGAAAGCUCGACGGCUGGAGGGGGCAGCGGAAUUUCCGGAGUAGCGGUGAAAUGCGCAGAUACCGGAAGGAACGCCAAUAGCGAAGGCAGCUGCCUGGACAGUACGUGACGCUGAGGCGCGAAAGCGUGGGGAGCAAACCGGAUUAGAUACCCGGGUAGUCCACGCCCUAAACGAUGAGUGCUGGGUGUCCGGCGUUUGCCGGGUGCCGAAGCUAACGCGUUAAGCACUCCGCCUGGGAAGUACGGUCGCAAGACUGAAACUCAAAGGAAUUGACGGGGGCCCGCACAAGCGGUGGAGCAUGUGGUUUAAUUCGAAGGAACGCGAAGAACCUUACCAGGCCUUGACAUCCUAGGAACCCUGAUGAAAGUCGGGGGUGCCCGCAAGGGAACCUAGAGACAGGUGCUGCAUGGCUGUCGUCAGCUCGUGUCGUGAGAUGUUGGGUUAAGUCCCGC
rnacentral:rRNA from 1 species